rnacentral:rRNA from 1 species
GACGAGGGAUCCUAGCGUUGUUCGGAAUCAGUUGGGACGUAAAGCGGGUGUAGGUGGGUCUUCUAAGUCAGAUAGUCGAAAGUCCCAGGGCCUCGAAACCCUGGAAGUGUCAUUUGAUACUGGAAGUCUUGAGUGUGGUAGAGGUUACUGGAAUUGUUGGUGUAGUGGUGAAAUACGUAGAUAUCAACAGGAAUACCGGAGGCGAAGGCGAGUAA